UACGUAGGUGGCGAACGUUAUCCGGAGUGACUGGGCGUAAAGGGUCCGUAGGUGGGACGAUUUGUCUGGUGUGACAAUGCCUGGCUCAACUGGGCGAGUGCACUGGAAACGGUCGUUCUGGAAUCGGGUCGAGGUCGGUGGAAUUCCCGGUGUAGUGGUGGAAUGCGUAGAGAUCGGGAGGAACGCCCAAGGCGCAGGCAACUGGCUAGACCACGAUUGACACUGAGGGACGAAAGCGUGGGGAGCGAACAGG
rnacentral:misc_RNA from 1 species